rnacentral:lncRNA from 1 species
AUGCCGGGCGGGAAAAAGCAGGUUUUUUCCUCCGGGUUCUCCUCCAAGGGACAGGCCCCUGCCCGGGCUGGCAGGUGCAACACGGUGUUUAUCAGCAGGGCUUCUUCUUGCGAGGCUCCCGUGAGCGGCCACCUUCUUCCUAACCUCACGCGACACCUGCCCUUCCUGGUGGUUCCAGUGCGUGCAGAGCCUGGGCUUGGCCUCAAGGUGACUCGACUCUGGCCACGGAGCGGGGCAGGCCUGCUUGGGUCAGCCCUGGAUGGUGGCAGGAGUCAGGGGCACUGCAGAACCCCAGGGGGCUGACCUCCGGGUGGGCCCUCCAGACGCAGACCCAUGCGGACGGAAAAGGGAGCACUGCAGGCACCGCGGAGGAGGCAGAGUCAGCUCAGAGCAGACCUGGGGGUGUGUGAAGGAGCAGGGGCCCUCUGUGUCUCAAUGUGAGGGUGUGUGUGUGUGCAGGUGUGUGUGUGUGCAUGCAGGUGGGUGUGUAUGUGUGUGUGCACGGGUGUGCGCGUGUGCGUGUGUGUGUGCGUGCGUGCCUGUGCAGAGUGUAUAGAAUCGUGCACGCAUGGGAUGAGCCCCAGGGCUGGAUCAGCACCUGCUGGUGAGCUUGCUCUGCUCCAUGACCACUUCCCAGGUUGCCUCGGUCUGUGGUGCCCAGCUUACCAAGCACGUGUUCUAGCUCAGGCACCGUCCCAAGGAUUUAUCUGUCUGGUCCUGUUCCACUCUCACAGCAGCCCCUCUGGUAAAUAGUUUCACCCCCAUGUAACACACGUGGAAACAGAGAUUUGAGGGCUUCUGCUAUGCCUCCAAAUCCUGAAGCCGGGUCCCUCUGAUGCUCUUCUGCCAUCACUUGUCUCGCUGGGGACUCAGUGGAAACAGGGCUAUUUUUUUGCAAAGAUGAGGCAGAGGAAGGAACCUGGGAAACAUCUCUGCUCGUCACAGCGUGCCAUGAGAAGCACGAGAAGAGGGACUGGAUGCUGAGAGUCAGGGGUGGCGGAGAGCUUCCUCUGUCUCCUCUCAAUCACCUCAUCUGUGUUCUGCUCUGUCUGCCCUCUCCGGCUGGAAAUCGUCAACUGGCAGCCGCCAGAUCAGGUCUGGACUCCUUAAGUGGCUUUCCCAAUCCUCCCAGAACCCUUCGCUGUCUGAGCAGCCGGCCUAGAUCUGUAGCUAGAGAGGUGGCGACGAUGCCGAUUCAGUGAUCGCCUCUCGGGAGAGACCGUUGGACCCGCGUUUGCACGAGGCCAGCACUGGGGCGUUGCUGCUGGGAAAGCACUUGGUGUCAGAGACUCGGCUCCGUGAC